GUGCUUGCCUCGGCAGCACAUAUACCAAAGUUGGAAUGAUAAAGAGAAGAUUAGCAUGGCCCCUGCACAAGGAUGGCACGCAAAUUCGUCAAGUGUUCCAUGUUUUU
rnacentral:snRNA from 1 species